GACGUAGGGCGCGAGCGUUGUCCGGAUUUAUUGGGCGUAAAGAGCUCGUAGGCGGCUUGUCGCGUCGUUCGUGAAAACCUGGGGCUCAACCCCAGGCUUGCGGGCGAUACGGGCAGGCUAGAGUUCGGUAGGGGAGACUGGAAUUCCUGGUGUAGCGGUGAAAUGCGCAGAUAUCAGGAGGAACACCGGUGGCGAAGGCGGGUCUCUGGGCCAUUACUGACACUGAGAAGCGAAAGCAUGGGGAGCGAACAGG
rnacentral:rRNA from 1 species